GCGGAUGUAGUUCAAUGGCAGAACAUCAGCUUCCCAAGCUGAGAAUGCGGGUUCGAUUCCCGUCAUCCGCUCCA
rnacentral:tRNA from 6 species